rnacentral:misc_RNA from 1 species
UAACCACUCAAGCUCUCGCUUGGUAUUGGGGUGCGCGGUUCCGCGGCCUCUAAAGUCAGUGGCGGUGCCCGUCGGCUCUACGCGUAGUAAUACUCCUCGCGUCUGGGUCCGGUAGGUUGCUUGCCAACAACCCCCAAAUUUUUUACA